AAAUUGAAGAGUUUGAUCAUGGCUCAGAUUGAACGCUGGCGGCAGGCCUAACACAUGCAAGUCGAACGGUAACAGGAAGCAGCUUGCUGCUUCGCUGACGAGUGGCGGACGGGUGAGUAAUGUCUGGGAAACUGCCUGAUGGAGGGGGAUAACUACUGGAAACGGUGGCUAAUACCGCAUAACG
rnacentral:rRNA from 5 species